CCCGCUUGUUUGCUUUUUAUGUAUUUAUUUAUUUUUUACCUCUUCAACCUCUUCUGCGGCAUUGUUCUGUAUAUGUUUGGGUCCAAAAGCAAGGCAGUAUCUUUGGGUAGCUUUGAUAAAUGAACUACUUUAGUUUUUAACUGAUGUCGUUCACUUUCAUUCACCCACACAUCAGGCAGAAUGUCUUCAGGCAUCCAAUGAAGCAAAAGUUUGAUCUUCCCAGAAUCUUCUUUUCUCUUAGCUAUUACAGUACUAUGAAAAACAACACUGUGUCCCUU
rnacentral:lncRNA from 1 species